AGUGAACGUUGGCGGCGUGGAUUAGGCAUGCAAGUCGUGCGGAAAGGCCCCGCAAGGGGUACUCGAGCGGCGAAAGGGAUAGUAACACGUGGGUUACCUACCCCCGGGACUGGGAUAGCUGCGGGAAACUGCAGGUAAUACCGGAUAACGUCUUUGGACCAAAGGUGUGAUUCCGCCUGGGGAGGGGCCCGCGUCCUAUUAGCUAGUUGGCAGGGUAACGGCCUACCAAGGGCAGAGAUGGGUAGGGGGUGUGAGAGCAUGACCCCCAUCACUGGGACUGAGAUACUGCCCAGACUCCUACGGGAGGCAG
rnacentral:rRNA from 1 species